CAGGAAUCCUGCCUGUUUUCCACUGACAUCUCACUCCUGUGGAGGGCUCUACAGACCACCAGUGAGCUUUCAUGGAACAAGUCACACCCUAACCGGAUGCCUGCAGAGUGAAUGGCUGUGCAGUUCAAUGGGAAAACACACACAUGAGUCAAGCAUAGGAAAUAUGCGAUGGGAAAGGGAAGCAGCGGAGACAAAGGACUGCCUCUCUGCACAACCCUCCAUGAGUGGCAUUCACAUCUCAAAGUGCGAGUGAGAACGAGGCCUGCACUGGA